rnacentral:rRNA from 1 species
UACGUAGGGGGCAAGCGUUGUCCGGAAUCAUUGGGCGUAAAGAGCGUGUAGGCGGCCAGAAAAGUCCGCUGUGAAAACUCGAGGCUCAACUUCGAGCUGUCGGUGGAAACUUUCUGGCUAGAGUCCGGAAGAGGAGAAUGGAAUUCCUGGUGUAGCGGUGAAAUGCGCAGAUAUCUGGAGGAACACCGGUGGCGAAGGCGGCAUCCUGGACCAAUUCUGACGCUGAGGAGCGAAAGCCAGGGGAGCAAACGGG